rnacentral:rRNA from 1 species
GACGAACGCUGGCGGCGUGCUUAACACAUGCAAGUCGAGCGGAAAGGCCCUUCGGGGUACUCGAGCGGCGAACGGGUGAGUAACACGUGAGUAAUCUGCCCUUGGCUUUGGGAUAACUACCGGAAACGGUGGCUAAUACCGGAUACGACAACCGUCUGCAUGGGCUGGUUGUGGAAAGUUUUUUCGGCCAGGGAUGUGCUCGCGGCCUAUUAGCUUGUUGGUGGGGUAAUGGCCUACCAAGGCUUCGACGGGUAGCCGGCCUGAGAGGGUGACCGGCCACACUGGGACUGAGACACGGCCCAGACUCCUACGGGAGGCAGCAGUGGGGAAUAUUGGACAAUGGGCGGAAGCCUGAUCCAGCAACGCCGCGUGAGGGAUGACGGCCUUCGGGUUGUAAACCUCUUUCAGUACCGACGAAGCGCCGAUGAUGGUGGUGACGGUAGGUACAGAAGAAGCACCGGCCAACUACGUG